AGUCAGCCCAGAAAAACACCCACUGCUGGAAAUAAAUCUUUUUGCUAUAUGCAUUUUUUUCUCAUUGAACAGACUGGAAUUGUGACCACUACCUCGAUGAGCUCUGUGGAAUCAGAAAUUCUCUGUGGACCUGGACUCUUCUGCACGGAGGCCAGAGGCUGAAUGAAGAUCACACUUAAACAUUCAAAUAAAGCUCCACCGGGCACAAUGUUGAUGUCAGCGCAGAAAGAAAUGACUCCCUGCAAUGUGAAUGUGAAAUUUCAAUUCCAACGAUAAACUGACAGACAGACAGAGACAGUUGGCAGACCAGACCUGGAUACGUACUGGUUUCUGUAUUCCUGUCCUGGUUCUGUCCCAUUCUGCUAAAUCAAACUUUGAAGAAAGACGAUGUAAUUUUGACUGAACAGUGGCCACUGUGGCCACAAGGGGCGUCUGCAGGAGAACGCUAAGUGGUUGUUAUCUUCCAGUGUAUGGGCGUGUAUGACUGCAGUCCUGGAUGCUACGUUUAGUG